ACACACUAAAUUUCACACUGAAAAGCCUUGGUGGGAAUUUUUGUUUACAUAGAAAGCAAAAGAAAAAAUGUCUUGAGGUCUUUGCAGUGUUUUGUGCUUUUCAGAUACUAUUAAAUUCCGCUCUUUUGAAUUUCUUUGGCGACAGAGAAAGACUGGACUCAGAGUGGUCAAGCUCAAAAAAUGAUCUUUAUUUUUACAUUUGUGGAAAUGGAGACCCGCCACACGAACACACAAGCUCAGGCCUCCUCCUGUUUCACUGGCAUAUAUCCAUCACCAGAGGGCUCCACUGACCUGCCUGCUGACAUCAGAGCACACCCCUGUGUCAUGUGACCUGGCAAAGCUGGACUCAGACCUGUCCCAGCCAAGUUCAAAGGCAGCUGUGGUAGAGAGAGCAGGGAGUAUAGUAGAGCACUGGAAGGAUGAGGUGGAAACAGGAAGUGUGUAGAUUCAGUGGACGUGGCAUCCUCCAUCUGUCUCCAUGCUCUCUUUACUGGCCUUCUAAAAUCACUUCUAAAAACAUCUGCUGUAGCUGUGAUUUUUGUUUAAAUGUUUAGGAUUUAGAAUUCAACUUUACUGUCAUACAUGUCUAAAUACAGGGUUACAAAAUACAGUUUGCAUCUAAUCAGUAAGUGCAAUAAGAGCAGAUUAUAUACAGUAAGUUGAGUAGAGAGCAACUAAGAUGUACUGGUCCAUACAGAUAAGGGUAGUAUAAGUGGUGAAAUAGUCAUGAACAGAGAGACCAAACAUACAGCUGAACUACAGACAAAUGUAUAGCAUACAGAUGUUUUAUAUUGCUGUACAGACAGGCAGAUUUACAGGUGUACUAUGAACAAAUAUACAGAUGUGCUACAUAUAUACAGAUGUAUCAGUGU